UACGAAGGGUGCAAACGUUGCUCGGAAUCAUUGGGCGUAAAGCGCACGUAGGCGGCCCAGCAAGUUGGAUGUGAAAUCCCUCGGCUCAACCGAGGACGUGCAUCCAAAACUGCUGGGCUUGAGUACUGAAGAGGAUCGCGGAAUUCCCGGUGUAGAGGUGAAAUUCGUAGAUAUCGGGAGGAACACCAGUGGCGAAGGCGGCGAUCUGGGCAGAUACUGACGCUGAGGUGCGAAAGCGUGGGGAGCGAACGGG
rnacentral:rRNA from 1 species